CCUACGGGAGGCAGCAGUAAGGGAUAUUGCACAAUGGGCGCAAGCCUGAUGCAGCGACGCCGCGUGAGGGAUGACGGCCUUCGGGUUGUAAACCUCUUUCAGUAGGGAAGAAGCGCAAGUGACGGUACCUGCAGAAGAAGCACCGGCCAACUACGUGCCAGCAGCCGCGGUAAU
rnacentral:rRNA from 1 species